ACAACGAAGAGUUUGAUCAUGGCUCAGGAUGAACGCUAGCGACAGGCCUAACACAUGCAAGUCGAGGGGCAGCACAGUUGAAGCUUGCUUCAAUGGGUGGCGACCGGCGCACGGGUGAGUAACGCGUAUGGAACCAA
rnacentral:rRNA from 1 species